rnacentral:lncRNA from 1 species
GAAGGCGCUGCCUCGCGUUGGAGGAGCUUGCUCUGAGCUGCUGCCACCUGCUGGGCUGGAGCUGGAGCUGGAGCUGCGAAUUCGGAGUCCCGGUUCCCUGUGCCACCUGGCGAGCUCAGCAAACUAAAAGUCUCUUUGUCUUCAUCGUUUCCGGCACUGAUGUGAGCACAUCAUAAGCACAAGACCUGGACACCUUUACAAUCAGAGGUAGCAUCUGUCUGGAACUGUAUCUUGACUCUCACUGGUGCUUUUCCUUUGGUUGAUGCAAAGCUUUUGAAUCCUUUAGGGAGAUGUCAUUGGCCUAGGACUGGAGCUCUGGAUCUGACCGGAGCAAAGAGGAAGCACGCAAAUCCGGACAUGACGACGAGGAGGCAGUAGAGACCCAUCCUCAACUGUGCCCUUGUUGAGCUGCUUGAGGCAGAAGGCACAGACGAAGUGCUCGGGGUGGAACUUCUUGGCCAUGGCGGUGAUGCAGCGGCCGGUGAUGGGCUUCUGGCAGCCAGAACACAGCGAGCCGCGCCGCUCGUGGUAGUGCACCUCACAGUAGGGCUGCCCGUCGUGCUCGAAGAAGCUGCCGUUCACGAAUGGCGUGAAGCAUUCCUGCCAGGCGGAGAGAGGGGCUCAGGGAGCUGCCCCUCGGGCUAGAGCUGCACCCUGUGUGAUGGGGCCGAGGUGGGCAUAGUCGGCACGCUCGGAGUGACUCCUACUUGCUAGGCGUUUCCCAUGUGCCGUGUUGUCCUAAACGCUCAUUUUUCAUUUUUAUUUUAUUAAAUAAAUUUUUUUUGUAGAGAUGGGGGUCUCACUAUAUUGCCCAUGCUGGUCAAAUGUGGCCUCCUGCAAUCCUCCC